rnacentral:lncRNA from 1 species
UCUUUAACUACAAUAAUUAAAAUUUGUAACCAAUUUGAAUAUAGUUCUAGUAAUUACAAUUGAACUUCUUUUAGUCUCUCCACCAUAAUUAAUAUACCAUAUUAGACACAAGAUCAAGUACAUCUUCUGUACUUUUGAAAGUACGAAGGAUUACAUGCUUAUAAAUUUUUUCGAUGAUAAGAUAUUUGAUUUGACGAUCGGCUCCGUUAGGCAUAACCUACACUAUUGGAACUAUCUGAAAAUCAAAUUUCAUAAUUUUUUAACAUUAUUUACCAAGUGAUCAAAAAGUCUCAAAAAAUGACUAUUUUAACGAUCGAUGUGAUAUAUUUUCGAGUUCAACGGUGUAGAACAAUUCAAAUUAUAUGAAACUUUAAUAAAAAAUUCUACUUAAUAUCAAUAAUAAGACUAAUGCUUUUGAUUUGAAAUUUGAGUCUUUUAUUACUGUUUUUUAUAAGUUUUUUUUUUAAAUCGUUCAUUUUUAAACUACUCGUUCACUAGGCAAAUGAAGUCAAAAAAAUAUAUAAUUUGAUUUCUACAUAGUUCCAAUAACAUAAAUCAUGACUAACAAAACCGAUCGCCAAAUCAAAUGUCCCAUCAUCAAAAAUAACUUACAAGUAUGGAGGCUUUCGUACUUUCGAAAGUAUAGGAGCUUAGCUCUCAAACGUAAUAUUUAUAUCCAAAUACCAUUACAAUUGCUGUAUAAAUAUAUUUGCAACUAUGUUGGACCAAAUAGCCCUAACAUUGCCUGUUUUCAAAAUAGAAAGAUUGUUUAAUCAGGCAUUGUUCGGACUACAAAAAUUUACACUUUUUUUUCUAUAGUACAACUCAUGCUAAAUUAAGGCCACUACUAGAACAAGUAAGAAUUCUAUUCAUAUGGGAUACUUCUUGGGGUGGAAACGAGCCGAGCUCGAGCGAGCUUACCUCGGCUCAAAUUCGGCUUGAAAUUAAUUUCGAGCUUAAAUUUAAGCUCAAGUUUGGAUUGAAAUUAAUUCGAGCCGAGCUCGAGCGAGCCUAAUUUCGAGUCGAGCGAGCUCGAGCCCUAAACGAGCCGCUUGAAAUUCAACAUCAUGCGAUCAAUAGUUUAAUUUGUAUAGAACAUUAUCUAUAAUUUGAUACAAAAAUAUGUCUAAUAGUUCAAAGUACAAAAUAAUUAUAUAUUUAUAAUAUGAAAAAAAUAAUUUAUGAGUUGAAUAUCUAAUCUUUUCAGCCUCACAUGUCU